rnacentral:rRNA from 1 species
CGCAACCCCUGCUUUCAGUUGCUACCGGGUCAUGCCGAGCACUCUGAAAGGACUGCCCAGGAUAACGGGGAGGAAGGUGGGGAUGACGUCAAGUCAGCAUGGCCUUUAUGGCUGGGGCUACACACGUACUACAAUGGCGACUACAAAGGGCUGCGAAGCGGCGACGUGAAGCAAAUCUCAAAAAAGUCGCCUCAGUUCGGAUUGGAGUCUGCAACUCGACUCCAUGAAGUUGGAAUCGCUAGUAAUCGUGGAUCAGAACGCCACGGUGAAUACGUUCCUGGGCCUUGUACACACCGCCCGUCACACCACGAAAGCCUGUUGGACCAGAAGUCGCUAGACCAACCUUAGGGAAGUAGGCGCCAAAGGUCUGACCGGUGAUUGGGGUGAAGUCGUAACAAGGUAAAGGGCGAAUUCCAGCAC